ensembl:snRNA U6 U6 spliceosomal RNA
GUGCUUGCUUUGGCAGCACAUAUGCUAAAAUUAGAAUGAUACAGAGAUUAGCGUGACCCCUGCGCAAGGAUGACACACAGAUUCGUGAAGCAUUCCUUAUUUUU